CCGUUCUUCGGUCAAGGGUUUACGGUAGCUGCGCUCCCCUGCUAGAACCUCCAAACAAGCUCAAGGUUCAUUUGUAGGAGAACAUUGGGUAGUCAGGA
rnacentral:sRNA from 1 species